rnacentral:rRNA from 1 species
AAGGAUCGCAUGAUUCUUAGAUGAAAGAUGGUUCUGCUAUCGCUUUUAGAUGGACCCGCGGCGUAUUAACUAGUUGGUGGGGUAACGGCCUACCAAGGUGAUGAUACGUAGCCGAACUGAGAGGUUGAUCGGCCACAUUGGGACUGAGACACGGCCCAAACUCCUACGGGAGGCAGCAGUAGGGAAUCUUCCACAAUGGACGCAAGUCUGAUGGAGCAACGCCGCGUGAGUGAAGAAGGUCUUCGGAUCGUAAAACUCUGUUGUUAGAGAAGAACACGAGUGAGAGUAACUGUUCAUUCGAUGACGGUAUCUAACCAGCAAGUCACGGCUAACUACGUGCCAGCAGCCGCGGUAAUACGUAGGUGGCAAGCGUUGUCCGGAUUUAUUGGGCGUAAAGGGAACGCAGGCGGUCUUUUAAGUCUGAUGUGAAAGCCUUCGGCUUAACCGGAGUAGUGCAUUGGAAACUGGAAGACUUGAGUGCAGAAGAGGAGAGUGGAACUCCAUGUGUAGCGGUGAAAUGCGUAGAUAUAUGGAAGAACACCAGUGGC